rnacentral:rRNA from 1 species
GUUAUAGGGUCAAGUGAAUAAGUGCAUGUGGUGGAUGCCUUGGCGAUCACAGGCGAUGAAGGACGUUGUAGCCUGCGUUAUGCUGCGGGGAGCUGGCAAACAAGCUUUGAUCCGCAGAUUUCCGAAUGGGGAAACCCACUCCGCAAGGAGUAUCCCACGCUGAAUACAUAGGCGUGAGGAGGCGAACCGAGCGAACUGAAACAUCUAAGUAGCUCGAGGAAAAGAAAUCAACCGAGAUUCCGAAAGUAGUGGCGAGCGAAAUUGGAACAGCCUGUACGUGAUAAUCAUGAAGUCAGCAAAACGGCCUGGAAAGGCCGGCCAUAGCAGGUGAUAGCCCUGUAUGCGAAAACUUCGUGAUGGUACUAAGCGUACGAUAAGUAGGGCGGGACACGUGGAAUCCUGUCUGAAGAUGGGGGGACCAUCCUCCAAGGCUAAAUACUCGUGAUCGACCGAUAGUGAACCAGUACCGUGAGGGAAAGGCGAAAAGAACCCCGGGAGGGGAGUGAAAUAGAUCCUGAAACCGCAUGCAUACAAACAGUCGGAGCCUCCUUGAGGGGUGACGGCGUACCUUUUGUAUAAUGGGUCAGCGACUUACGUUUAGUGGCAAGCUUAACCGAAUAGGGGAGGCGCAGGGAAACCGAGUCCGAAUAGGGCGAUCAGUCGCUAGGCGUAGACCCGAAACCAGAUGAUCUAUCCAUGGCCAGGAUGAAGGUAGGGUAACACCUGCUGGAGGUCCGAACCGACUACUGUUGCAAAAGUAGCGGAUGAGCUGUGGAUAGGGGUGAAAGGCUAAACAAAUCUGGAAAUAGCUGGUUCUCCCCGAAAACUAUUUAGGUAGUGCCUCAUGUAUGGCUCCAGGGGGUAGAGCACUGUCAUCAUUGCGGGGGUCAUUGCGAUUUACCGCGUGAUAGCAAACUCCGAAUACCUGGAAGUCUGAGCAUGGGAGACAGUCCUCGGGUGCUAACGUCCGAGGUCGAGAGGGAAACAACCCAGACCGCCAGCUAAGGUCCCCAAGCAUGACUAAGUGGGAAACGAAGUGGGAAGGCUAAAACAGUCAGGAGGUUGGCUUAGAAGCAGCCACCCUU